rnacentral:rRNA from 1 species
CGCGCACACACCGCCCGUCACUCUCCCCAAGCCAACCAACACCCUAUAAAUAAUACAUUUCACCGGUAAAGGGGAGGCAAGUCGCUAACAUGGUAAGUGUACCGGAAGGUGCACUUGGAAAAAU